rnacentral:rRNA from 1 species
GGAUUGACAGAUUGAGAGCUCUUUCUUGAUUUUUCAGGUGGUGGUGCAUGGCCGUUCUUAGUUCGUGGGGUGACUUGUCUGCUUAAUUGCGAUAACGAGCGAGACCUUACUCUGCUAAAUAGCCAGGCUAGCUUUGGCUGGUCGCCGGCUUCUUAGAGAGACUAUCAACUCAAGUUGAUGGAAGUUUGAGGCAAUAACAGGUCUGUGAUGCCCUUAGAUGUUCUGGGCCGCACGCGCGCUACACUGACAGAGCCAACGAGUUCUUUUCCUUGUUCGAAAGAAUUGGGUAAUCUUGUUAAACUCUGUCGUGCUGGGGAUAAAGCAUUGCAAUUAUUGCUUUUCAACGAGGAAUGCCUAGUAAGCGCGUGUCAUCAGCAUGCGUUGAUUACGUCCCUGACCUUUGUACACACCGCCCGUCGCUACUACCGAUUGAAUGGCUCAGUGAGGCCUUCGGACUGGCUCGAGGAGGUUGGCAACGACCACCUCAAGCCGGAAAGUUGGUCAAACUCGGUCAUUUAGAGGAAGUAAAAGUCGUAACAAGGUCUCCGUAGGUGAACCUGCGGAGGG